UUUCUUCAGGGCAGGGUGAAAUUCCCGAUCGGCGGUAAAGUCCGCGAGCGCGUUGGCGUAGGAUUUGGUGCGAUUCCAAAACCGACAGUAUAGUCUGGAUGGGAGAAGAA
rnacentral:ncRNA from 1 species